UGCUCAGGCUGGUCUCAAACUCCUGGGCUCAAAGGAUCUUCCUACCUCAGGCUCCCAAAUAGCUGGGACUAAAGGUGUGCACCACCAUGCCUGGUUUCAUUUUUAAAGUAAUGAUGGCUCUAAGAAAAAUAUCUAUUUUCUCUUUUCAUAUGCUUGAAGAGAACUCAGCUAUAAAGAGCUUUUAAAUCUGAACUUAAAAAAAAUUAUUCAGGAAUAAUUCUAAACUAAAAUCCGGUGCAAAAUUAUCCUAAUAUGCAGAUGUAAUCAUUCAAGUGCUCUAUAUUUCCAGCCUCCUUAAUAGUGGUAUAAAUGUGAAUCUCAACCAAAUAUUUUAGAAGAGACUUCAUUGCUCUUUAGGGAAAAAAAUCACUUAUUAAUAGUAUAGAUUAGGUAUACUACACUAAAAACAAUCCCUAAGUCUUAGUGGCUUAAAAGAACAAGUGUAUUUUGUGUUUAUGCUAUUAGGUUGAAUUACUUGAAAUUUCCAGUAUUUCACAAUUUUUGAACUAGAGAUACUGUAAAUUCAUAUGGAUUGGUGUAAUCCAUAUCAAUCACAGAAUGAUUGGGGUCUCUAUUCCAUGUUGUCUAUACCGAGAGGCACAGUCUAACAGAAGUUCCGCCAGCUAGGAUAUUGCUGGUUACCUUGGCAGAAGGAAGAGAACUGAAGAAAGUACACACAUCAUUUAACACUGCACCUCUGUUGGUCAAAAAAUGUUAUAAGGUUGUAUCUAACUUCAGCGGGGUAGGAUAGUGCUAUCCAUAUGCCAGGAAAAAGGAGAACUUGAAUAUUACUGACUACCAAAUCUGGUAGUGUUUAAUGAUUCUUUUAUAUUUUUUGGAUAGAAAGUAUAACAAGUAGCUAAUCACUGCAUUAUUGUAACAAAUAUCAAAGGAAUGUAUACUUAUAAAUUUGUUUAAAUAAUAGCUUUAUUAGGAGAAACUCAUAUACCAUAUAAUUCACCCACUUAAAAUGUAAAAUUUAAUGGUUUUUAGUAUAUUCGGAGUUGCGCAGUUAUCACUAAGACUCAUUUUGGAACAUUUUCAUUAUCUCAGAAAGGGAUUACAUACUCAUUAGCACUUACUCCCUAUUUCUCCAAUCCCACUCCACUCGCAGCCCUAGGCAACCACGAAUCUACUUUCUCUCUACUAAUUUGCCUAUUCUGGAUAUUUCCUAUACAUGAAAUCAGACAAUAUGUGAUCUUUUGCGACUGGCUUCUUUCAUUUAGCAUAAAGUUUUUUGUUUGUUUGUUUUUGAGACAGAGUCUCGCUCUGUCACCCAGGCUGGAAUGCAGUGGCAUUAUCUUGGCUAACUGCAACCUGCACCCCUAUGGUUCAAGCCAUUCAUGUACCUCAGCCUCCUGAGUAGCUGGGACUAUAGUAGCACACCACCAUUUCUGGCUAAUUUUUGUAGUUUUAGUAGAGAUAGGGUUUCACCAUGUUAGCCAGGCUCGUGUCGAACUCCUGGCCUUGAAUGAUCUGCCUGCCUCGGCCUCCCAAAGUGCUGGGAUUACAGGUAAGAGCCACUGUGCCCAGCCACAUUUAGCAUAAUGUUUUAAAGUUUCAUACCUGUUUUAGCAUGUAUCAGUACUUCAUUCCUUUUUAUUGCCAAAUAAUAUCCCAUUGUGUGGAUAUACCAUAUUUUAUUCAUCCAUUCAUCAGUUGAUACAAAAUUAGAUUGUUUCCAAUUUUUGCCUAUUAUGAAUAAUGUUAUGAACAUUUGUGAACAAAUUUUUGUAUACAUGUACGUUUUUAUUGCACUUCAAUAUAUAGCUAGGAUUAGAAUUGGUGGCCAUAUAACUCUGUGUUUAAUGUUUUAAGAAAUUUCCAGACUGUUUUCCAAAACGGCUGCACCAUUUUAUCUCUACCAGCAGUAUAUGAGGAUUUUAAAUUUUUCCACAUUUUUGCAAGGUCUUGUUAUUAUCUUCUCUCCUAGAUUAUAGUCACUCAGUGUGUGUGAUAUGGUAUGUCCAUGUGCUUUUGAUUUGCCUUUCCCUGAGAGCCAGUGAUGUUGAGCAUCUUUUUUUCAUCUGUUUAUUGGCCAUUUGUUUAUCCUCUUUGGAGAAAUGGCUGCUCAGAUCCUUUGCACGUUUUUCAAUUGGGUUGUCCUUUUAUUAUUGAGUUCUAAGAGUUAUUAUUGAGUUCUAUAUAUUCUGGAUACAAUUUCAUUAUCAGAUAUAUGAUUUGCAGUAUUUUCUCUCAUUCUGUGGGUCAUCUUUUCUUUUUUUCUUUUUUUUUUUUUUGAGACGGAGUCUCACUCUGUUGCCCAGGCUGGAGGGCAGUGGCACCAUCUCGGCUCAUGGCAACCUCUGCCUCCCGGGUUCAAGCGAUUCUCCUGCCUCAGCCUNNNNNNNNNNNNNNNNNNNNNNNNNNNNNNNNNNNNNNNNNNNNNNNNNNNNNNNNNNNNNNNNNNNNNNNNNNNNNNNNNNNNNNNNNNNNNNNNNNNNNNNNNNNNNNNNNNNNNNNNNNNNNNCCUCCCAAAGUGCUGGGAUUACAGCCGUGAGCCACUGCGCCUGGCCCAUCUUUUCACUUUCUUAAUGGUGUCCUUUGCAGUACAGUUUUUCUAUUAUUUUCUUUAGUUGCUUGUGCUUUUGGUGUCACAUCUAAGAAACUAUUGCCUAAUCCAAGUUCACAAAUAUUUAUGCCUAUAUUUUCUUUUAAGAGUUUCAUGGUUUUAUCUCUUACAUUUAGUUCUCAGGAACCAUUGUCAGUGAAAUUUUUAUAUGAUAUAAAGUAGAAAUAAAAACUUAUUCUUUUGCAUGUGGAUACAAUUUGUCCUAGCACCAUUUUGAGGGGGUGAGUGUUUAAUUUUAAUAACUUGCAUUAUAUUAUAAAUCUCAUAUAUUCCUUAGGUUUUUUACUUAACAGUAUCUUUUUUUAAAAAAAAAAAACAGCAUUUUAGAUUCACGGAGUAUAUAUACAGGUUUGCUCAUGGGUAUGUUGCAUAAUGCAUGCUGGAACCUAUCACCCAAAUAGUGAACAUAGUACCCAAUAGGUAGUUUUUCAGCUCUUCCUCUUCUUCCUGCUUUCCCCUUUAUGGAGUCCCCAAAUAGACAUUAUUUUCAUCUUUAUGUCCAUGUGAACCCAUUGUUUUUUUCCCAUGUAUAAGUGAGAGCAUGUGGUAUUUGAUUUUCUGUUUCUGCACUACUUCACUUAGGAUAAUGGCCUCCAGUUGCAUCCAUGUUGAUGCAAAGGACAUGAUUUCAUUCUCUUUUAUGGCUGUGUAGUAUUCCAUGGUGUAUACGUACCACAUUUUCUUUUUCUUUUUUUUUUUUCUUUAGAGAUGGGGUCUCGCUCUGUCACCCAGAUGGGAGUGCAGUGUCGCAAUAUCGGUUCACUGCAACCUCCGCCUCCUAGGUUCAAGCGAUUUUCCUGCCUCAGUGUGAGAAAACAUUUUAAAUGGUCCAUCUUCAAGGCGUGAUAGAAAUCUAAGUACUAGCAGCCAGCCUGCGGAUGUGACCAAUCAUACGGCUCAGGCACCUAGAAAGUCAGGAUACACGAACAGGAGGAGGAGUCAGCCCAUAAAAGGGAAGAAAGUUUCCUUACUUGGGAAUCGAAACUUUAGCAGGGAAGGGGAAUGGGGUAUGACCUUAUAAGGGGAUAGUGAAACUUAGGCGACAUCUGGGAAGAUUAUAACCCCAUAGUACUCGACCAAUGAGGAACUUGGGGAGGGACUUGUGUGCUAGGAGAGAAAUUACCUGCUGUGACUGCCCCAGGUGUGCCUGCCUAGCAGAAACCCCAUCUUGCAAGACCACCAUUAAAAGUCUCGUUUUCCUGGCACAAGACAGGGAUGCCCUCUCUCACCACUCCUAUUCAACAUAGUGUUGGAAGUUCUGGCCAGGGCAAUUAGGCAGGAGAAGGAAAUAAAGGGUAUUCAAUUAGGAAAAGAGGAAGUCAAACUGUCCCUGUUUGCAGACAACAUGAUUGUAUAUCUAGAAAACCCCAUUGUCUCAGCCCCAAAUCUCCUUAAGCUGAUAAGCAACUUCAGCAAAGUCUCAGGAUACAAAAUCAAUGUACAAAAAUCACAAGCAUUCUUAUACACCAGUAACAGACAAACAGAGAGCCAAAUCAUGAGUGAACUCCCAUUCACAAUUGCUUCAAAGAGAAUAAAAUACUUAGGAAUCCAACUUACAAGGGAUGUGAAGGACCUCUUCAAGGAGAACUACAAACCACUGCUCAAUGAAAUAAAAGAGGAUACAAACAAAUGGAAGAACAUUCCAUGCUCAUGGGUAGGAAGAAUCAAUAUCGUGANNNNNNNNNNCUCCUAUUCAACAUAGUGUUGGAAGUUGUGGCCAGGGCAAUUAGGCAGGAGAAGGAAAUAAAGGGUAUUCAAUUAGGAAAAGAGGAAGUCAAAUUGUCCCCGUUUGCAGAUGACAUGAUUGUAUAUGUAGAAAACCCCAUUGUCUCAGCCCAAAAUCUCCUUAAGCUGAUAAGCAACUUCAGCAA
rnacentral:lncRNA from 1 species